rnacentral:rRNA from 1 species
UGCAAGUCGAGCGGAAACGAUGGUAGCUUGCUACCAGGCGUCGAGCGGCGGACGGGUGAGUAACGCGUGAGAAUCUGCCCAUUUGUGGGGGAUAACUCGGGGAAACUCGAGCUAAUACCGCAUAAUCCCUACGGGGGAAAGCAGGGGACCUUCGGGCCUUGUGCAGAUGGAUGAGCUCGCGUCGGAUUAGCUUGUUGGUGAGGUAAAGGCUCACCAAGGCGACGAUCCGUAGCUGGUCUGAGAGGAUGAUCAGCCACACCGGGACUGAGACACGGCCCGGACUCCUACGGGAGGCAGCAGUGGGGAAUCUUGGACAAUGGGGGCAACCCUGAUCCAGCCAUGCCGCGUGUGUGAAGAAGGCCUUCGGGUUGUAAAGCACUUUCAGUAGGGAGGAAGGCUUACCGCUAAUAACGGUGAGUACUUGACGUUACCUACAGAAGAAGCACCGGCUAAUUUCGUGCCAGCAGCCGCGGUAAUACGAAAGGUGCGAGCGUUAAUCGGAAUUACUGGGCGUAAAGCGCGCGUAGGCGGUUUGUUAAGUCAGAUGUGAAAGCCCCGGGCUCAACCUGGGAAUUGCAUUUGAAACUGGCAGGCUAGAGUGCAGUAGAGGGAGGUGGAAUUUCCGGUGUAGCGGUGAAAUGCGUAGAGAUCGGAAGGAACACCAGUGGCGAAGGCGGCCUCCUGGACUGACACUGACGCUGAGGUGCGAAAGCGUGGGGAGCAAACAGGAUUAGAUACCCUGGUAGUCCACGCCGUAAACGAUGUCUACUAGUCGUUGGGAAUCUUAGUAUUCUUGGUGACGAAGUUAACGCGAUAAGUAGACCGCCUGGGGAGUACGGCCGCAAGGUUAAAACUCAAUGAAUUGACGGGGGCCCGCACAAGCGGUGGAGCAUGUGUUUAUUCGAUGCACGCGAGAUCUUACCAGGCCUUGACAUCCUUGGAACUUUCUAGAGAUAGAUUGGUGCCUUCGGGAGCCAGUGACAGGGGCUGCAUGGCUGUCGUCACCUCGUGGCUGGAAUGGUGGGGUUAAGUCCCGUAACGAGGGCAACCCUUUGUCUCUUUUGUGAG